rnacentral:misc_RNA from 1 species
ACUCUUCAACCCACCGGUGUCUUGUAAACUGGCUGGUGUUUGGUUUCUGAGUGUUGCUCGUCCUCGUGACUGAGCUCAUUCGUAAUAUAUGAGCAUCUCUAAUUCGAAUUCGGAUUGACUCAGUGUAAUAGACUAUUCGCUGAGGACACACCUAGUGUGGCCGAACAAGAUAAUUGUAGAAGCUUCUAACCCUUCUAGUCAUUUUAAGAU